AUGCAGUGGACGCACGACACUAUCCAUUGUCUCUGGGUUUGGUGCGUUAUAGGUGAAAUGAAACAAUUGAUGAACCCCGAUGUUGUAGUGUGUCGUUCUUUGAACUUGAAUUGUGGUAACGAAAUUGCAUUAUUUGAAGCCCUCUUAUUCGAUUCAAGAAAGCUGAUCAGUGAGAAUUAA